AUUGAACGCUGGCGGCGUGCCUAAUACAUGCAAGUCGAGCGAAUGGAUUAAGAGCUUGCUCUUAUGAAGUUAGCGGCGGACGGGUGAGUAACACGUGGGUAACCUGCCCAUAAGACUGGGAUAACUCCGGGAAACCGGGGCUAAUACCGGAUAACAUUUUGAACCGCAUGGUUCGAAAUUGAAAGGCGGCUUCGGCUGUCACUUAUGGAUGGACCCGCGUCGCAUUAGCUAGUUGGUGAGGUAACGGCUCACCAAGGCAACGAUGCGUAGCCGACCUGAGAGGGUGAUCGGCCACACUGGGACUGAGACACGGCCCAGACUCCUACGGGAGGCAGCAGUAGGGAAUCUUCCGCAAUGGACGAAAGUCUGACGGAGCAACGCCGCGUGAGUGAUGAAGGCUUUCGGGUCGUAAAACUCUGUUGUUAGGGAAGAACAAGUGCUAGUUGAAUAAGCUGGCACCUUGACGGUACCUAACCAGAAAGCCACGGCUAACUACGUGCCAGCAGCCGCAGUAA
rnacentral:rRNA from 1 species